rnacentral:rRNA from 1 species
GACGAACGCUGGCGGCGUGCUUAACACAUGCAAGUCGAACGGAAAGGCCCUGCUUUUGUGGGGUGCUCGAGUGGCGAACGGGUGAGUAACACGUGAGUAACAUGCCCUUGACUUUGGGAUAAAUUCAGGAAACUGGGGCUAAUACCGGAUAGGAGAUCCUGCUGCAUGGUGGGGGUUGGAAAGUUUCGGCGGUUGGGGCUGGACUCGCGGCUUAUCAGCUUGUUGGUGGGGUAGUGGCUUACCAAGGCUUUGACGGGUAGCCGGCCUUAGAGGGUGACCGGCCACAUUGGGACUGAGGUACGGCCCAGUCUCCUACGGGAGGCAGCAGUGGGGAAUAUUGCACAAUGGGCGCAAGCCUGAUGCAGCAACGCCGCGUGCGUGAUGACGGCCUACGGGUUGUAAACCGCUUUCGCCUGUGACGAAGCGUGAGUGACGGUAAUGGGUAAAGAAGCACCGGCUAACUACGUG